CAGUCGCCGCGGUAAAACGAAGGGGGCUAGCGUUGCUCGGAAUGACUGGGCGUAAAGGGCGCGUAGGCGGCGAUCAAAGUCAGGCGUGAAAUUCCUGGGCUCAACCUGGGGGCUGCGCUUGAUACUUGGUUGCUUGAGUGGGGAAGAGGGUCGUGGAAUUCCCAGUGUAGAGGUGAAAUUCGUAGAUAUUGGGAAGAACACCGGUGGCGAAGGCGGCGACCUGGUCCUUGACUGACGCUGAGGCGCGAAAGCGUGGGGAGCAAACAGGAUUAGAUACCCGUGUAGUCCCUGUCUCUUAUAC
rnacentral:rRNA from 1 species